rnacentral:rRNA from 1 species
CCCUUAGAUGUUCUGGGCUGCACGCGCGCUACACUGAUGCGAUCAACAAGUUUUUCCUAUGUCGAUAGACACGGGUAAUCUUUUGAACUCGCAUCGUGAUGGGGAUAGAUUAUUGUAAUUAUUAAUCUUCAAUGAGGAAUUCCUAGUAGGUGCAAAUCAUCAGUUUGCAUCGAUUACGUCCCUGCCCUUUGUACACACCGCCCGUCGCUGCUACCGAUUGGUUGAUCUGGUGAAUUAUUCGGACUGCCGGCUGAAGGGGUUUCCUCAUCUGCCAGCGGAAAGUCUUGUUAACCCUAUCAACUAGAGGAAGCAGAAGUCGUAACA